CGGAGAAAAGGGUCGAGACCUUAGACAGAAAUUCAAUCAUUGCAAGAAACCUUUGGGGAGCCCUGGAAGGAGGGGUGACAAUACCCUCACGUGAAGAGGCGGUCGUGCUUUCGGGAUCAGAAGCGUCCAUUGAGUUAGGAAAGGAAGAGGCGUCAGGAAGGGAAGAGGUGUUAGGAGGAGAAGCGGUGUCAGGAGGACAAGAAGCAGACACACCUCCGGAAGAAGAUAAAGCAGAACUCUCGGGGGGAGAAGAAGCAGUCGCACUCCCGGGAAAAGAGGAAGUCGCACAAACACAAAGCCAGCAGGAGCUAACAGUGGAAGAGCUGUUUCAACAGAUCCGAGAGAAAGAAAUUAAAAUAUUACUGAAAGCUGGAUUUCCAGACAACAAUUAUACUAAUGGACAAAGCUAUACUAAAGAAAAAAGG